GACGAAGGAUGCAAGCGUUAUCCGGAUUCAUUGGGUUUAAAGGGAGCGUAGGCGGACUAGUAAGUCAGUGGUGAAAUCUCCGGGCUUAAUCCGGAAACUGCCAUUGAUACUGCCAGUCUAGAGUACAGUUGCCGUUGGCGGAAUAUGACAUGUAGUGGUGAAAUACUUAGAUAUGUCAUAGAACACCGAUUGCGAAGGCAGCUAACGAAGCUGUAACUGACGCUGAGGCUCGAAAGUGCGGGGAUCAAACAGG
rnacentral:rRNA from 1 species